UACGUAGGAUGCAAGCGUUGUCCGGAAUUACUGGGCGUAAAGGGCUCGUAGGCGGCCAACUAAGUCAGACGUGAAAUCCCUCGGCUUAACCGGGGAACUGCGUCUGAUACUGGAUGGCUUGAGUUUGGGAGAGGGAUGCGGAAUUCCAGGUGUAGCGGUGAAAUGCGUAGAUAUCUGGAGGAACACCGGUGGCGAAGGCGGCAUCCUGGACCAACACUGACGCUGAGUGAGCGAAAGCCAGGGGAGCAAACGGG
rnacentral:rRNA from 1 species